UACGUAGGGAGCUAGCGUUGUCCGGAAUCAUUGGGCGUAAAGCGCGCGUAGGCGGCCCGGUAAGUCCGCUGUGAAAGUCAAAGGCUCAACCUUUGAAUGUCAGCGGAUACUGCCGGGCUAGAGUCCGGAAGAGGCGAGUGGAACUCCUGGUGUAGCGGUGAAAUGCGCAGAUAUCAGGAGGAACACCAAUUGCGAAGGCAGCUCGCUGGGACGUGACUGACGCUGAGACGCGAAAGCGUGGGGAGCAAACAGG
rnacentral:rRNA from 1 species